AGACGACAAAAUCACCAAAUUCUCUUCACCAGUGGAAGAACUGAGCAUUGUAACUAUGACCACACAUUUCCAGGAAACCUCAACUGGAGAAAGGACUAUGAAUUUCAACCACCCUUACUGAUAGAGAGGUGGUAACAACCCAGGCAGGGCUAUGGAGACCACCCUUCUGACUUGUCAAUGAACAAACACAGUACUAUCCACACAGUGGAAAGUUUGGACAUAGAAGGGUAGAGACACUCAUGAUAUGACCUAUCGUGCCUCCCUAAUACUUUUCUACCUGCACUUCAUCCAGAUUGGCGUGAUUCACUCUGGCACUAAUGGGACCUGGAAGCCCAAACAUACAACAGGUGGAUUCCAGCUACUGACUGAUGGAGAAACAGCAGGAUGCUGAAUUAGCCACAACUCACAAACUUCCAUCGUUCAGUUCUCUUCCUUCCCUCACCGUGGACCCUGUCCAAACCCUAUCAGCAGAAAAUCUUCUCCAGGAAGCAGAAGAUCCAGUAAGACACAGGUGCUUCACCUCCAAUUCCUCAUCUGUCAGACCACAGCAUUUCCUGCUUCUUCCCUGUCUGCCUCCAGGGAUCCCAGAAAAGAAAGUACUGUUCACAAAGGCAACCAACUGAAUGGGAGAGGAUAUUUGCAAAUGACAUAUCAGAUAAAGGGUUAGUACCCAAAAUCUAUAAAGAAUUUAUCAAACUCAAAAAACAAAUAAUCCAGUGAAGAAAUGGGCAAAAGACAAGAAUAGACACUUCUCCAAAGAAGACAUCCAGAUGGCCAACCGACACAUGAAAAAAUGCUCAACAUCACUCAUCAUCAGGGAAAUACAAGUCAAAACCACAUUGAGAUACCACCUCAUACCUGUCAGAAUGGCUAAUGUUAACAACUCAGCACACAAGAGAUAUUGGCAAGGAUACCAAGAAAAAAAGAUCUCUUUUGCACUGUUGGUGGGAAUGGAAGCUGGUGCAGCCACUCUGGAAAACAGUAUGGAGGUUCCUCAAAAAAUUGAAAAUAGCACUGCCCUAUGACUCAGCAAUUGCACUACUAGGUAUUUAUCCAAGGGAUACAGUAAUGCUGUUUUGAAGGGGCACAUGCACCCCUACGUUUAUAGCAGCACAAUCAACAAUAGCCAAAGUAUGGAAAGAGCCGAAAUGUCCAUCGAUGAAUGAAUGGAUAAAGAAGAUGUGGUAUGUAUAUGCAAUGGAGUGUUACUCGGCAAUCACAAAGAAUGAAAUCUUGCAUUUGCAACUAUGUGGGUGGAACUAGAUAGUAUUAUGCUAAGCAAAAUUAGUCAGAGAAAGGCAAAUAUCAUAUGACUUCAGUCAUAUGAGGACUUUAGGACGCAGAACAGAUGAACGCAAGGGAAGGGAGGCAAAAAUAAUAUAAAAACAGGGAGGGAGACAAAACAUAAGAGACUCUUAAGUAUGGAGAACAGAGGGUUACUGAAGGGGUUGUGGGAGGGGGGAUGGGCUAAAUGGGUAAGGGGCAUUAAGGAAUCUACUCCUGAAAUCACUGUUGCACAAUAUGCUAACUAACUUGGAUGUAAAUUAAAACAAUAAAAAAUUAAAUUAAAUUAAAUUAAAUUAAAUU
ensembl:lncRNA